rnacentral:tRNA from 1 species
GCCCGAGUGGCGGAAUGGCAUACGCGGACGGCUCAAACCCGUCUGGCCGCAAGGCUGUAGGGGUUCGACUCCCCUCUCGGGCACCG